rnacentral:rRNA from 1 species
UACGUAGGGUGCAAGCGUUGUCCGGAAUUAUUGGGCGUAAGGAGCUCGUAGGCGGUCUGUCGCGUCUGCUGUGAAAACUCAGGGCUUAACCCUGAGCUUGCAGUGGGUACGGGCAGACUAGAGUGCGGUAGGGGAGACUGGAAUUCCUGGUGUAGCGGUGAAAUGCGCAGAUAUCAGGAGGAACACCGGUGGCGAAGGCGGGUCUCUGGGCCGUAACUGACGCUGAGGAGCGAAAGCAUGGGGAGCGAACAGG